UGCACCGGGCUGGUGGCAACCUCUCCCAGAACGCGACUUAUCGCGUACGGUACGACGGUGAAUCGAGAUAAUACCGUAUCGUUAUUUCCAGAAUUAAUAGAUAUCACGUAUUAUAAUAUACAUAUACACGGCUAUAGGUAUAAGAUUUGGGUAACAUCUCGGUUAGGAAGAUCCUUCGGUUUUUAAGUUGUGACUUCAAAAAUUAGGUUUCGUUUACGAGUAGCCCUGAAAAUUUAGAUGCGAGUACUAGAUUGCAUCAUAUAACAGGCUGUAGGCUUGUAGGAAACACGGUAUAUCAGUUAUUGAGUUGAAUUAGGUAUUUCUUUAUGUAGGUAUAUGGUAUUCGAUGGAGUACCUCCAUAUUAUUUCCACUGUUAUAAGUAUCAAGUUUUAUUAGUCUACUGCGUGAAGUUGUUAUAAUGGAAUAAACUGGAAACAAAUAUGUUUGAAAAAGUGACAAGUUAUGAAGAACCGUGAACUCUGUGAAUUACAGGUGGUCUGACUGUUACAUUUUGAUUCCGUUCUAGAAAUUGAGGACCUUAUUUGAAGAAUAUGUUUCCACUACUGCUUACCUUCCUACUGAUAUAUUCUAGCUCUCAUCGAAU